GCAGCGGAGCGCGUGAACUUAACCACUCGGCCACGGGGCCAGCCCCAAGGAAUUUGUAUUUUGUGCUGACUUCUAGGAGCUCACAGAAGAAGAAUAAAGACAUGAAAGAUGAGUGAUGAUGAAAAUGUGUUUAAUUAAUUAUUCACAUGAUUAAUCAUUGUAAUAAUAAAAAUAACUGGCAGGGCUAGGAAAAGCAGAAAGUGGGUCCAGAAAUGGAACAAAGAUGAUUAUUUUUAUACUGAAGAAAAGAGGAAGUAAUGGGUGUUGCGGGGGGCAAGUGUUGGAAGCAUCUAUCAAAAGGCUGCUUUACAAAUGGGAGUCAAGAGUUUAUGAUUAAUUGAAGAAUUAUUCAAAUGGAAAUUCCAUGCUAACUUCAGUAGUCUUUGAGGCACAGAAAGAGAAAGAGAAUAACCAGUUACUCAAAUUCCUACAGCUGCUCUUUAAUGGGAUUUAUGCCUUUUUUAGGUUUAUCUUGAAUUGAGAAAUUGAGCACACUGCUUCACUGGUAAACAGUGCCACCUGUGAAGGAGGGAUUUACUUAAGCACGCUUUAUUCCUCCCACACUAAGGUACACUGGAAAGAGAGCAAAUUUGGAACCAGAGAGCUUGGAGUCUGAAUCUUGGUUCUGCUGCUUAUCAGCAUGUGGUUUGGGUCAAAUCACUUAAUUUCUCUGAGUCUCAUUUUUUUCCUCAUCUGUAAAAUAGGUAUAAAAUAUUGAAUAAUGAAGACUGUUGUAAAAAUGAGAAAUAAUCACUGUGAGAUACUAGGUACCCAGAAAUACUCAAUAAAUAGCAGCUACAAUUAUUCCAUAAUUGCGAAUACUCUUUUUAUAAUGGCAGCAAACUGUUGAUGAAUGUUGAAGACCUAGCUUGAAAUGGAACAGAUAACAAGUAAUACAACAGUUCAAAAUAGCUUUUGUACUUGAAUUGUCUAAGCUAGCUCAAGGACAGCCAUGUUAUGUCUAGGAUGCUCUAGUGUGGAAAAUUCUCAAAAGAGCAAGACUGCAUGCUGUGGACGCUUCAGUUUUGCAAUGGCUGGGAGAAGGUCACUUAAGUAGCCAUAACAUGCAAAAUAUUAGGAUGGCAUCUUUGAUGAGAAUGUGCAUGCCGAGACAAAUUCCAGGAUUAUGCCAGCAACUGGUCUUCUGCCUUUCACUUUUGGGGUCGGUGCCUAUAACCCCUUUUGGACUAGCAGCUUACAUGAUACUCAUGAAAACAUAUAGGUAUGUUAAGAGUGUUUAAUCUUAAUUGCUUGGAGAAAGUUUUAAAUAUGAAGGUCCUUACUCAAGAGAGAAUAUGGGAUGUGAAUGUGGGGGAACAGCUUCGGAAAUUCCCAAUUCUUAAAGCUACCUCUCUAAUCUCUGUUAUUAAAAAUUUUCUAUGAAGAUGUAAGUAACUGAUACUUAUCCUUUUCACAAGGAAUAAAAUAACUACUUAAAACACAUAUUACCUAAAAGACCUUAAUUAUAUCACUGCCUCAUCCUAAACAACUUGGUAUUCUUAAAUUCUUAGAUUGACUGCAGUAAGAAUAUAUAGAUUAUUGCAAACACUCACGAUAUUUUACAGAGACAACAAUUACAAUAAAAAGUUCUUCCAACUGCAUGGCAGAAUGGGAGGGAUACUUGAUUUCCCUUGGAAUUUUUUUGCCAUCUUUGGAUGCCUGGUGCUUUGAUAGAGAAUGUGCAACCACAUUACAGUGAAUCUGAACUUAUCCAAGUGAAAACCAAAUUAUCUUUUUGUGAGUGUCAAAUGGAAAAUUAUACUUUGUACAUAGCAAUUUAUCCCCCUUCUGCCCCUUUCUGGGCAUAAUUAAGGGCCAGGUCAACUUCACACAAUUCAUGGUGAAGACAACAAUAUUUAUUGAGCAUUCUGCAAGUUAUACAUGUGCAAUUAAUCUCAUUUCUUUUUUGGGCACAAUUAUAUCAUUUCCCCCAUUUUACAAUGUGGAAAUUGAGACUCAGAAAAGCUGACUGACAAGUCCAAGACCAAAUUGUUAGUAAACAAUAGGGCAAGCACUAGAAGCCAGAUCUUCUCAUUUUAAGUGCAACAAGAUUUGUUCUUCUCUAUGCUGUCUUCAUUAAUUCAUUCACAGGUUCAUGGGUUCAUUCAGCAAGCAUUGAUUGAAUGUAUCCUAUAUGCCAGGCACUGUGACAGGCUAGAAAUACGAAUUACAAAUGGAUCUCAUCUCCAAGCCACUCACAGUUUGGUAAAUAAAUGACAAGAGCUCAGGAUGGGAAGUGCUGUGGGAGCGUGGAGAGGAGUGACAGUGGCAGGGGCAGGGGGAUGGUGAUCCAGAAAGGAGUUCCAAAGGCCAUGAUACCCUUGGGGCAGCAGGGCAGAGGCCCUGGGCAAUUGGUUCCAGCAGCAGGCAGCUUCCUCCAUUCAUCCCAGCGGGUGCCACCAACAUUACCAUUACCUGAGUGCCAAGACAGGGAAAAUGGGGAGGCAUGGUCUGAGGUAAGAUGAGCAGGCUUUCUGAGGUGAAGAUGGGGAAAAGCUUUCCAAGUAAAGGGAACAGCUGGAUGAGGGCACAAUGUCAUACAUGGCACAGCUCCUCUGGGGAACUUUCUGGCGUAGCUGAAAUGGAUGAGUCAUGUGAAGGGGCAAUUUGGAAAUGAACAGAGGUAUUAGCAGAGGCCAGGCAUUGAGGGGUUUAUGGUUUUGGGGGCCAAGAGAAAGAAUGUGAACUCUAUCCUGAAAGGUAUGGGGAAUGACUAAAGGAUAUUUUACAGAGACAUGAUCAGAUUUGGAUUUUAGACAGAUCCCUUUUGCCUCAGUGGAAGACUAGAUUAGAGGAGCCAGGAGGGAAUGUGGCAGGAACCUAAGACAGACGUGAGAAGUCCUGGAUUAAGGAAGUAGCCGUGUGGAUGGCAAGGCAAGAUGUGAGAGAUAUCAAGGGGCAGACUUGUUGAAUGACUAGAUGGGGUUUGAGAGCGGGAGGCAGGAAUCUGUACCAUCUCUCAGAUUUCCGCCUUGGAGACUGGGUGGACGGUGAAGGCAUUCUCUGAGUUAGGGGAAAAAAGAGGAAGAGCAAGUCUCCCUUUGGAGGAGGCAAGCCAUACUGAACUUGAUUUUGAUAUGAUGAGAGUAUGAGGUGCUCUGAGGAUCUUCAAGUGUGUAUGUCGAUGUAAUCUUAUAGAUGUAUGAUGGCACCCUUAACAAAAAAGAGAAAGCCGUGUUGCUGGAUUGCUUAGCAACAUAUUUAGAAAUAUUUUGAUAUUUUUUUCUCAAAGCAUUCAUUUUAACAUGGAAAUUCAUCAGCAUAUAGAAAAAAGAGGGAUGCAAAUAAAUAAAUAAGUGAGGAUGGGUCUUACAUAAAUCUAACUACAGAACAGUAUUUUAGCACGUAGAUCUAAAUAUUUUCCCAUAUGCUCAACUAAUAUCAUUCAACAGGUGACUUGAAAAAAAGGGGGAGAUACCAAAGUCUUGAAAAAUGAAUUAUUUAAAAAUCUUCAUUGUCACACACCCUUAAUACAUACUGCAUUUACUCUCAGAAGGAAGUGUACACCCGAAGGGUGAAGGGGAAAGAAAUAGUUUCCUUAAGUGAAGGAACAGAAAGAGCAGAGGAUCUAUCUGGCUGCUAGCCAAUCAGAGAAUAUUGAAAAGCUAGACAUUUCAAGGCAAAUCGCUACUAAUCCACCUUUUACCAAAGUUCUCACUUUAAGUUCACCUUUUGACAUGAAAUAUUUAAUAGGAACUUUAUGUUAGCCGCAAAGUGCCCUUAAAAAAUUUUUAAUAUUGGACUCCAUACUAGGCUAAAAGAGGAAGGUAUUAGGUGGCUGAAAAGAAACAUGUAUUUGAAAAAAAGAAGAAGAAAAAAAGGACUUGUGGAAAGCACAAAGCAGUGAGUUAGAAUUUCUAUUGAAAAUUGAAAGUUAAUGACAGCACAAAGUUUCUUUCCUAUUGAGGACAGAUGCUUCUUAAAGAAUGGAUAAAUCAAUAAAGUUCAUUUUCUAGUGGCAUUUGGAACCACAACUCUAAUCUGCUGAAAUGGCACAGAGACAAAAAAGCAAAAUACAAAUAAACAAAAAAAGGGUUUCUUGUAGAAAGAAAACUCCAUUUACUUGGCUUCCACCCUCGCAGUUUAUAUUCAGCUCCCUAACGGGGAAAUAACUUUCCCAGGAAGGUGGCUUUUUGUUGGGUGCGUGUAUGAUGUUCAUUCGUCUCGCAUCUAAAAAUUAGAACAUAACAAGCUUCUAAUCAUCACUUGUUAAUUUGAAACAAAAGGAAUUCCUUUUGCCAUUGAAAGCAGAUUGUAGUAAAAAAAGCAGCAUUCUCCAAGGUCAUAUGCUGUUGGCAAAGCUCAAAAAAACCUUGCAGUCCAACUUGCUUAUAUUCAGCUGUGUUUACUUAGACUUAAGUUGACAAAGUCUGCCUCUGAUUAAACCGAGCAGUCAUCUGCCCACAGAUAAAUAGAUACUACACAAACUUUUGCAGGGAAUGACAUUUGGCCUCCAUAAUUUUGGAAUAAUUUACUACGUACCCUCAACUUAAAACACCAAAAUGAUCCACAAUAUGUUUUGGGGAUUGGAACAUAAAUAUUUCAUCUUACAAAGGGAGCACUCUCCACGACUUUUACGGAUUUGAGGUGAUUUUCUAACAAAGGCCGCUCCUUCUUUGGAAGGUGUGGGGCGGCGCUUCACCUGGCAGUUUCAGGCUACAUUUACUGCAGUCUUUUCAAUAACCAUCAAGAUUUCAAGGAAUUUCUGUAAACAAGCUAUCACUUAAAGAAAAUAACUUUCCAUCAAUUUUUGCAACAAGUCUCCAGAACAGAACAUGCAUAUAAAAAUAAGAGUUAACUAAAUUAUUUCCAGAGACUACAUGUUGGAGUAAUGUUUACACUAUUGGUAGAAAGCAAAAGCUCCAUGUUUUACCACCAUAUCUCCCACUAAAUGCAAAAUUCUGCUUUUGGAGUAAUGUAAACCAUUUCCAUGGCAUAGAAUCUGUUCCUGAUUACCCAAGAAUUGAUUCUGGCUCAUUGUAUUUACUUUGCUUGCUGUUAUAUUUACAUAACAAAAGAUACACAUACAUACUUUCCUCUCCAAACUAAGAUUAUUUCAAAGGUGGAAGUACUUAUUAUAUUCCCUAGCGAUGAAUCAAUAAACCAAUCAAUCAACAGAUCUUAAGUGCGUUUUGCUAACAGCUGGUAAUACAGUAGUGAACAACAGGGAGAUGGUCUCUGUCCUCUAACAUUUAUCUAAAGAGAAAAAUGAGAAAUUGAACACAUACGGUCAUUUUCUAGGUUGCUCAUUUUAAUUUAUGCAAUUAGGAAGAAUUUUUCCGUACUGAAACCAACAUAUUUUCUUCCCUGACUCCUGUUUUAUUAUUGGCUUUACUCAGGGAUGGAGCCCUUCGUUAGGAAUAGUGGGGUGUUGAGGGAUCUCCAAAUGAAUAUUCUGCUGUGCCAGCUCCCUCUGGCAGUUCAGGCUAAGUCUGGAAAGGGGCUAGUUUUUGACAGAUUCAUUUAAUGCUUUCUAUUUUGGCUGUUAUUCUAAUUUACUAAGCUUGCUUUGAUAAGCACUCUGUAAAGGGAACUAAUGUAAACGAUGGUACUGCUACUGUUGGUACAACUGCCACUUGUGUUUGCUAAGCCAGGGUUUCCAAAAGCUUUUCCUUGUAAAGCACUGAAUCAAUCCAUGUACCUUACGGCACGUUUCCCCCAUUGUUUUCUCUCAUUCUGCUUUUGCUUUGAGAUUCACAAAAGAUGAUUUUAUACAUAUAAAUUUAAAAAGGAAUAUGUUUUCAAAUGUGCAUGGCUUUAAGGUCAGCAAACAAAUUCAUAACAUGUGCUGGAAGACUGGGAUGAUGUGCUCGGACCGAUCUCGGCGAGGGAAUGCAUUAAUUCUCCUUAGCUUUUAAUGCAAAACUGCAUCCACAAUCAUUCUAGAAAGGGCAGAUUCCUCAGAUUCGACGUGUCAUCAGAGAACUGAAUCCAGGAAAAUGAGGGAGUACGAAACUCUCUUCUGAAGCCCAGCCACAUGACAAAGCCAGAGGCAUCUCUGAAGCCACUGAUGCCACAGCAAGCCAAGUGGAGAAGGCAGCUGCUGCUGUUUGAAAAAAUAACAUUCACAGCUUGAUACCUAGGUCCUGGCAGAGCUGUCUGAAAGAGGAAGGUAAACACAGUGGACACACGUGUGACCACACGUCGCACUUGUCCACCAUGGAGGGAGGGGGCAGCUGAUCUAGCAGACGUCAAGCAACGAAAACCCUUUAAAGAGCGGAGCCACUGUGGGCGGUUUCCUACAAAGGAAAAGUACAUUCGCAAAUCUUAUCAGAUUGGACCAAAACAAAACUGUGCACAGAAACUAGUACGAAAGCUCAUUUCAAAAGAGGGAUACAAAAAUCUUACAUGCGCAAAUUAUUUCAGAUUCGGUCAAGGCUAUCAGGCGGCAGUGUUAUGUCUAAAAAAGUAAGACAGCCAUCACUAUCUCCAGACACACAGUUCAUUCUCUACAACACAGUUUAACGCAGAAGAAAAUAUCAGCCACGGAUCACUGACUGGAAUUAGUUUGCAGAUCUGCCGUUGAACCAAACUUAUAUGGCUCUCUCAACAUGAACCAAAGGGUGGGGCGGCAGGGGGAAGCUUUCACAACCAAAAAUCUUGAAAAAUUGCCUAUAUUUUCUGGUUUCAUUUUUCCCAGAACUGAAACACGACAAAAUAACACCACCUCAGUGCACUCACUUCCAGCUCACUCAGGAAGUGCUGAGGUACAUAAACAUUUUUUUAUUUCACUUUUUUACAAGAAGGUGACCAACAUUUUCUUAGGCUUCCAAAAGGCUUCAGGUUUGGAAUACAUUUUGGUUAAAUGUCAGCAAAGGAAUUUGCUCAUCGUUCAAAAAGCGCUUUUUCUUUCCAGCCUUGGAAUAUAUGUAGAAACUGUGUGGUGAAUGGAAUUACAAAACGGUUCGGAGCCACAAAGGGGAAAUCCAGUUUCACAAUUCCUAAGCCUUCUGUAGGGAAGCAUCCUGAACAGGAGGGGAAGAAGUAACACGGGACAUUUACACAGCACAGCUGAUCAAGUGCUUUCACAAUCAUUACCAGCAGCUCUGUGAGAGGUACCUUCUUAUCUUGUUCCUGGGCCCCUGGGAGAAGACUGGACAAAGCUUAUAAAGUGAUUACACAAGCUUCAUACCAACCUCAGUUUCCAAACUGGACAGGUGAAUGGACUGGGAAAGUCCACAAGCAUGGGCUUCUGAGCCCAGGGACGGCCUCCACACCAGCUGUCCUGACCUGGAUCCAGCCCUGCAGUGGUCCUCACAGUGCCCUGUGCCUAAUCACCCACUCUGCUCCAACGAGGAACCUCAAGAAAGUUCUAAAUUCACAUGGCCCCAGGAAGACCAGGACCCCCACAGCUGUCUCCAAAUGGGGUUCCAAACCUAGCAGGGAUGAUGGCUGGGCUUUAGGGAAUCCUUGAAAUCCCUAAAAUUAUAAACAGGUAUAGCUGAAGAAAAUAAAAUGCUAUUUAACAUCACAAAUGCCUUAUAAAGAAAAUUAAAGUUAUGAACUACAAGGUCCCUUAGGUUUGUUUAGCAUCUUGAUAGAUGGGUUGAGCUUUCAAGGGUAGGCCCGGAAUGGAGCUUGGGAGCUGAGGCUGGAAACAGCUGGCUUACACUACACUGCAUGGAAAGAACUUGGAGAUUCUGAAGCAACUGGGAAUUAGGGGUGAGCAGGGAAGAGUGGAAGGGAAAGCAUGGAGCUAGUGGGAUGCUGUGAGGCUGGGUACCACAUGGGGCAGAGGAGACAGGGCAGAGUUCAGGUGGGGUGGCUAAAGGACACUUAAGAGCAAGGACAAGUAGUGCUCUCUGUGAAGUUAUGUGAACUGCUGUGAUGUAAGGUCCUUUUUCCUCUCCAAAUUUUCCAUACAGUCUACUACACACACAUGCCUUCUGAGAGCAGGGCGUCUUCUGGCACUGAAGAAGGGAGUACAUUUCAUAUCUGAAUCAACAUCAUGCAGAACAGGGACCACAUGUGUGGGAUGGCAAUGCGACCCAUAAAUGAACACACUUUGGGAAGUACACAGUUCCAUACGCUGUGAAGACAGAACCCUCAGGCAUCGUCAGAAAUCUUCAGAAGAGUCCAACCUUCCACAGCAUGGAAUAAAGUGUCCAAGGGAAUCCUAUUUACGUCUAAAGGAUCAGAGAUGCCUCUGUUGCCAUCUGGGUUACACAAAAGGGUGUGGGUGGGGGAAGUGGAUGUGCGUUUUUCUGGAGAAGGAUCCAAAGCUUUUUAUCCAAUUUUCAAAGCCGUCCAUGUACAAAAGGAGGAACAGCUCCAAAUAAGUUAAGAGCCACUGGUUUGGAGAGUUCUACUCCGUAAAUGAUUUUUUAUUUUGAGUACACUUAACCAGGAUGGAAAACACUGUAAAAUUGAGUGGAAAGAGCCUGAAUGAGGAGCUGAGAGACCAAACUUCUCUUCCUGGCUUGGUGGUUAAGUAGCUAUGCAUCAAUGGGUCACUCUCUCCCACCCUGCGAGAAAGUGGGAAUAAUUAUCCUUAUUUUUACCUCAUAGAGUUGUAAUGAGGAUCAAACAAAAUAACAGAUGUUCAUGCACUUUCUACAGUACAUAGAGCAACACAAUAUAUUAUUAGAUCUAAUCUGGCAUGAGAUUUGCUAACCUAAUACCAGAAUAGUAAGUACAAAAAUGACCUUAGUGAAAAUAUUUUUACAAUUCAAUCAUGGAUAUUAUUCCCUUUUCUUGCCAUCAUAAACAAUGGCAUUCUGCUUUAAAGGAUAUUUUUAUCAUUCAUCCAACUUUUGGAGUUUCACGGUGUUCUAGCCUCACUUUACACCGUUUUGUGCCUCUUCCUACCUCCUCUGUAGGCCAGCACAGCUAAUUUGUGUAAAGGCAAACGAGGCUUCGCCCGCUUUUUCUAUGGAUGGCAUUGGGCAUGACAUUUGAUCUUACAGAGGGAUUAAGUCAUUCAUGAGCUGAGCCCAAAGGGAGGAACAGUUCCCAAAAAACAACCAGCCGUGCUGGUACUACAACAUCCAGAAAUUCAGUCAUUUCUGCUACAGUUAUAAUUUGUAGUCUGUCUGGCACUGAGAAAUCUAACUGCAGUCUCUGUGGUUUAAAUAAAAUGUAUCUACAGCAGCUUGGAGCCAUGUUUUAAAACGUUCCAUGUUAUUUUAGUUCAAGGACAAGCUUUUAAAAUUAAAAGAAAACUUUGGCUUUAAUUAUAGAUGAAAAGUGAAAGGUUUUUUUUUAAAGGAAUGCUAUUGAGUCCCACUUUUGGAGAAAGCAUUUGAAAUAAAAAAAUUAAUUCUUCUCCUAAAGUAACAAUCUUCAUUAAUAUGGGAAGAUCAAAAACUGAGAGCACACACUCACACACAAAGACAACAUUUUUGUGGUUUUAAAACUAUGAUAGUCACAGUUCAUCUACUCCGUAUUAUAAUUUCCAGUGAUUUCAGUUACAUUUCAUAAGCAGGAUGCAAUAUUUUAGACAAAGACAGACCUAAUAAAAGGCAAGUGAUAUUGUUGUUUAACCUUAAAUUUAACAAAAACUCACUAUCUGACAAUCUAAAUUUAUGAAACAGAAGUUGACUUACAUUGUUCGUAUGACUAAAGGAUUCACUGCAGGAUUAUUUUAAAAUACCAAGUGUCUGCACUGUCCUGAAAACUUGACUCAAUUUAAAUCUGAUGUUUCUGGAAUGCAUCUAUUCUGAAAUUCAAGGCACAACUUUACAUUCUGUGGAUUUAUACAGAGGGCUGAUGGAGAAGCCUAAGUCAAUGCACCAGCAGGGGCAGUAAGUGAGGGCCGCCUCUUCUCCUGCCCUCAGCAUUCUGGGGCCAUGCAGGAUGCUACGGGAAGGAACCUGACUGCAAUCCUACUUGUUUUCUCAGCAGACCUGCCGCCCCUUUCAAAGGAACAGCUCCCCCUAAUACACGGCCCCAUCACCCCUGUUCUGCAUGAUUGCUUUAUCUACCUUCACCACAGAUUUGGACUCCAUAGCUCUCAGGAGGAUUGCUUCAGGCAGAUGCUUGGCUUCCUCUGGCCACUGUUAUGUCCCUGGAUUCCCUCUCCUCUCCACAGAGAUGCCCUAUGCUCCCUCCUGGGACUCUAAGGCCGGAACACUAUUGUGUGUGCUACAGAGAAGGCUCCAUCCUAAUGGCGUCAUCUCCAGCCUCGAAUGCCCACACCGGGACUCUGAAAGAAAGGGUUUGCGGUAGGACAAAAGAGGGACGAAAUAAAUUCUGGACUGAAGGUUGUUAUCAAAGAUGGAGGAGCCACUUGGCUGAUCCUAAUGUUCUAGAAUGGGGAAAGGAUUACGACGAGCCAGAGUAGCCACAGAGGCUCCCUUAAAACUCUCUCACACAUUCAUUCACUUAGAGAUUUACAAGUUCGAUUUCAAAAUACCCUGUGGGAAACGGUGGUACUCACUUCAUGGGGUGGUAAUGAGGAUUAAGUAAGAAAAUGCAUGUCAAGUACUUAGCACAGUGCCUGACACUUGAUAAGUGCUCAAUAAUUACCAGCUAGUACUACUGUCAUUAGUAUACCUUAGUGUCAAGUAUUUUGACCAUGCUGUUUUCAUCACCUCACAGGUGUCAGCUGUCCUGAGAUAAAGGCCUGCAGGUUUUGAUUGAGACAUGGAUAACCAGGAACUCUGAAGGACUGAAGGGGCAGACGGAGCACCUAUUGUGAUGGGCUGGGGAUUGAGGGUAGCAUAAAGACCAAGGCUCCUUUGGAGGUAGGCGAAAAGGAGCCAGGAGGUAGAAGACGACUUAGAAAAAGAGAUGGAAGGAUCCCUCAAAGAUAAACCACCACCUUUGUAACUUUCCCCAGUUUGGGAAAAGUAAAGGAUAGUGGUCACGAACAAGGUUUUAGAGUCAAAGAGAUCCGAGUUCGAAUCCUGACUCUGCAACAUCGCAGGUUAUGUGGAAACUGUGCUAUUUAAGUCCUUUCUCUCAUCCUUAAAAUAAGGAUAGUAAUACAUAUAUCAUAGAGUUAUUGUAGGAACAGCACAAUGCCAGGCACAUAGUGAGUGCUCAAAAAAUGGCAAUUGUUGUUACUGUGUGUGGUAAACAUUCAUCACAUCACUGGGAAUUACGCAGCCAUCUACCUUAGAAACAGAUUGUCAGUUGCCUGAUGCUAGCCUACAUGUUACCAGAUAAAAUGUAUGUAUCCUUAAGGAAAGCAAGACUAACUAAAUGAAUAAAGAGAAUAAGUAUGUAUGUUUUUUAUGCUUAUAUGUAAAUAAUUAUGUAAGUAAAUUUCAACUAAUUUAUUUACACAAGCCUUGAUUACUCAGUUUAUAGACUAUCCCUACCAAAAACAUUUAAAGCAGUAUAUUUUUUAUACUUUAUAACUAAGAGAUCACACUAAGGAUGAUGCUUAUUGUCUAAACAUCUGAGGUUGGACAGGCAAACCUUAUCCAAACCUCCCUGCUAAGCGCUCUCUGCUGGGAUAGGCAGAAUUUUGCCCCCAUGACUUUUCCACCUGGUGUCCCAUCUGUGAAUAUGUUAUGUUACACAUUAAGAGUGACUUUGCAGACUUAAUUAAGAUUACCAAUCAGUUGACUUUGAAAUAGGGAGAUUAUCCUGGAUUAUCUUGGGGGAGUUCAAUGUAAUCAUGUGAGCCCUCAAAGGCAGCGCUAUCUCCUGGUUGGGGGUGGAGCUGGGAGGCAGAGAGUUUUGAGCAUGAGAAAGACUCAAUGUGCUGUUGCUGGUUUGAAAAUGCAGGGGACCAGAGAAAAGGGAUGCGGAAGCCUCCAGAAGAGGAGAGGCAUGGAAAUGGGGCCCAUAGUGCCUAUAACCACAGGAAAAGGAAUUAUGCCAACAGCCUAAAUAAGCUUGUGAGUGCGUUCUUUCCCAGUGCCACUAGGUGAGAGCACAACGUGACUGAUGCCUUGAUGUCAGCCUAGUGAGAAUGCGAGCAGACGAUUCCGUUGUGCAGUGCCAGAAUUCUGUCCUACAGAACUGUGUGAUAAUAAACAGUGUUGUUUUAGGUUGCUGCUUCUAGUAAUUUGUCAGGCACCAAUAGAAAACCAAUACACAGUCAUAAAAACCGUUCUUUGAUUUAUAACUACAGUCAUCAGUUUUGACCCUGUCAUGGUUAAUUAAUUAAAAAUCAACAUACUCCAUUCCUGACAGUGGCAUACCAGCUGUCCAUUCCUGGCAAUGUAUGUGCUAUGAUCUCAAGCUGGCCUUCUGGCACUUCUCUUGUCCCUCUUAGUUUCAAGGCCUUCACUUACUUACUAUUUUCUUAGAACAGGUACUUGGAUAUGCUGCUGCCCAUUAGCGUCUCCAACAGAGGGAGUACAGGAUCAUGAAAGAAAACCCUUCACAUCCCUAUCUUCCAGGAAAAGCCUUGUGAAGGGAUAUUCUGCAAUGACUGGCUGAGAAUUAAGUCUGGAUAUUUAUUGUUUAUGCUGUCUGCUCAAGGGCGAGAUCAACCAGUGAUAACAUGUAAAGCCCUUGACCUCAUCAGAAUGAUUCUAGGCCUGCAGAGGAUAUACCAAAGCAUUCGCUAAAUAAUCCAGAGAAAGACCCACCCAGUAUUGCAAAUACUGCCUAAGACAGUGGCAUUAAAGUCAAGUAAUGUUAGGUGCUCCAAUAAAAGAGGUGCUUCUCUAGGAAAGACAUUAGGAACAGCAGCCCAUUUUAAAUUAAUUACUGUAUACAUAACACAGUUUCCACAUGUUGACAGCUGGACCUGGACGAUCAAGCAUAACUCUGAAGGAAGAAAGGAAACUCAUAGAAAAGUAUUCUGUGGUCAGCCCACCACUGCCCAGAGACAUAGAAAUGUGGCAAGAUAUUCAGUCAGCUCAUCCACAGUCGAAUAAACCAAGGAAGAAUCUGGACAGGAGAGCCCUGAACAAAGACAAUUGUUUUGUACUUUAUUGUUUAAGAAAAAACAGAAAGCAAGAGAGAGGGAGAAAAGGAAGGAGGAGGGCAGGAAUGAGACAGAGG